UGCUAUUUGUAAGAUGGGCUGUGCAGUGCUGGCUAUUUGUAAGAUGUGCUGUGCAGUGCUUGCUAUUUGUAAGGUGGGCUGUGCAGUGCUGGCUAUUUGUAAGGUGGGCUGUGCAGUGCUGGCUAUUUGUAAGAUGUGCUGUGCAGUGCUUGCUAUUUGUAAGGUGGGCUGUGCAGUGCUGGCUAUUUGUAAGAUGUGCUGUGCAGUGCUUGCUAUUUGUAAGGUGGGCUGUGCAGUGCUGGCUAUUUGUAAGAUGGGC